CCGAAAAUCGACGAUUUUCCGAAAAUCACUGUAUAAACAUGGCAUGCACGAAUUAUGAUGGUUUUAUUCGAUAAAUUACUGAUUUUUUCGGAUUCAUUGAGUUUGGACGAAAAAUCGACGAUUUUCAAGAAAUCACUGUAUAAACAUAGCUUGCACGAAUUCUGAUGGU